AGCAGUCGCCGCGGGAAUACGUAGGUGGCAAGCGUUGUCCGGAAUUAUUGGGCGUAAAGGGCUCGCAGGCGGUUUCUUAAGUCUGAUGUGAAAGCCCCCGGCUCAACCGGGGAGGGUCAUUGGAAACUGGGAAACUUGAGUGCAGAAGAGGAGAGUGGAAUUCCACGUGUAGUGGUGAAAUGCGUAGAGAUGUGGAGGAACACCAGUGGCGAAGGCGACUCUCUGGUCUGUAACUGACGCUGAGGAGCGAAAGCGUGGGGAGCGAACAGGAUUAGAUACCCCCGUAGUCCCUGUCUCUUAUAC
rnacentral:rRNA from 1 species